rnacentral:lncRNA from 1 species
CUGAAUGGCACUUUUGGCUCAUUGUGUCCAGUUGGACAUUACUGCUCUGCAGGGGUUGCCUUUCCUCUGCCCUGUCCGCCUGGCACUUUUUCUAACACCACCGGUUUGAAACAUGAGAAGGAGUGCCAAAAUUGCCCAGGGGGUUUUUACUGUGCCUCCACAGGGCUCAGUGAAGCCACAGGGCUCUGUUCAGAAGGAUUCUUCUGUGCCAAUGGAGCAGCAACACAAACCCCAACAGAUGGGAACUCAGGUGGACCAUGUCCACCGGGCCAUUACUGUCCUACUGGAAUUUCUCAGCCUUUGCCCUGUGAACUGGGGACUUUUAUGCCUGAAACACAGGCGGCUCAGUGCUGGACAUGCCCCCCAGGUUGGUACUGUGUUGGUGGAUUUCAGCACCAUUGUCCGGCAGGUUUUUAUUGCCCAGAAGGCACCGGAUAUGGCUGGAGAGCCUGUCCUGUUGGAACCUAUAGUCCACAGACUGGCCUUUCAGAGCGCUCCCAGUGCAUCGAGUGUGAUGGAGGCUCAUACUGCGCUCUGCCCAAUGCCACCUCUGUCACAGGACUCUGUGUGCAUGGAUACUACUGCCUACGAGGGAGCACCACCCCCCAGCCAAAUUCUUCAGGGGAGGGAGGGCAAUGUCCUCCUGGUCAUUUCUGUCCACAAGGCACCACUCAUCCCAAAGCAUGCCCAGAAGGCACCUUCAGUAACCGGAGUAAAUUAACCUCGCAGGCUGGCUGCUCACUUUGUACUCCAGGUCAUUACUGCAGCAGCACUGGUUUAACUGUGCCCAGUGGGGAAUGCUGGGAGGGAUUCUACUGCCUGCAAGGGGCUGUGGUUCCAAAUAGCCCAGUCCAGGAAAGUUGGGGUGGGCCAUGUCCUGCAGGUAUGGGAGGACAUCCUCCUUGUCCA